AGACGAAAUAGUGAUUGUGGCGGCUUACCGGACUCCAAUUUGCAAAGCUAAGCGAGGAGGGUUUAAGGAUACUCCAGCUGAUGAUUUACUUGCAGUUGUUUUAAAGGCCAUGAUAGAGAAAAAAAAUCUGGACCCAAGUGAAGUUGGGGAUAUAGUUGUUGGUACUGUUUUGCCACCUGGUUCACAAAGAGCAACAGAGUGCAAAAUGGCAGCAAUCUAUGCUGGUUUUCCUGGAAAAGAAAAUCUCUAUUUCACCAUUGAAGAUCUGCCCCUACUUGCUUCUCUUCUGGUCAUCUUGAGUGUCUCUAGUCAUCUCUAAAGUCUUUGGUCAACUAUGUCUCAUAGUCUACUCUAUUGGAAGGGUAAGUUCUCCAUUCUUUUUGUCCUCUGCUAUACUUUAAUGCCCUGAAUGUUGAUAUUUUUGUAUUGUGCAAAUGAGGUUCACCAUUAUUUUCAGUUUACUUU